UCUCUCUCUCUCUCUCUCUCUCUCUCAAGGGUGUAGGGGGAGAGAGGGGACAGAGGUGCUACAGGAAUAAGAGGUGGUCAAGGGGAGAUGGGUGACCCAGGCUCUGCUGGAGCACAGUGUCAUGAAGGUCAGGCUGGAGACGUGGGUUCACAGGGUCUGAGUGGAGUGUCUGGGCUCAAUGGGUACAGAGGAGAGCCAGGUUCUCACGGACCUGAGGGUGUUAAGGGCCCCAGGGGGCCUCCAGGAGCACCGGGAGAUGCAGGGCCCAUUGGGAAAAGGGUGAGUGACUUCUGGGGUAUGGGAGAACAGAACGUUUGUAUUGAAGAGGUUAUCUGAUUUAUCAUUAGGCUAAUAUUCUGAAUACACAAUAUUAUCUUGAUUCUCUCUUCAGGGUGAUGAUGGAACACAGGGAGAAGGCCAACCUGGAUAUCCAGGGUUUCAGGUCUGUUUUUCUUCAGCAGUGAAUUUCUGAACAAUAAGUAGGCAUUCAUGUUUUUAUUCUUAGUUACAAGUAUGAUUUAUCAACAUUGUUUGGAACAAAUGUCCAUGGACCUCAUUUGUCUAUUUCAGAUUUUUCAUUUCUUCUUACAGGGAUAACCUGGUCUGAGAGGACCUGCAGGUUUAAAGGUCUGUCUGUCUGUCUGUCUGUCUGGUCUGGUCUUGUCUGGUCUUGUCUGGUCUGGUCUGGUCUUGUCUGGUCUUAGCCUUAAGUUGGGCCCACAAAAGUGAAGAGCUUCAGUAUGUAUGUGAGAGCACUACAGUAAUUGUAUAAGGUUAAGUUCACAUCAGGUAAAGCUGAAUCCCAAUUAUUCUUUUUUUUUUUUUUUACUUUAGUCUGGAUCAGGGUUUGGAACCAAAUUAUUUUCCAAUCCUUUCGUUCUGAACAGAAACACUUCUUUUUGUUCCAUUCCACUGUUAUGUCCAGAAAAAUAAAGAUAUGAACUGGUUUAGUUUAGUAGAUUACUUUGUCAAUCAGUGUGGAUAGAGCAUGCAAACUAGUUGUUUACAUGCAUGGUGGACAGGCAACUGUAGCCUAUGGCGACUGAAAUUUUGCAGGUGGCGAGAGAAGGUUGAGGAGGAGGUUUGAAGCGCUGGGCAUCUUGUUAUGACAUGUGUUAUCUGAAUUAGGUCCACAGAAUUAUACCUAGGAAGAGGAGCUUCUAUGGAGGAACUUUGAAUGUCCUUUGAGCUAACAAGCUUGUGUGUGCAGAGCGGCAGCAGAAUUAAAAACACUUUUUUGUAGUAACCAUAUCCAAUGUAAAACGUGAUAACUAGGCCUAUAGAAUUCUUAACUAGUACUGUAAAAGUUCAUUAUUCUCCAGCUAAUUAAAUCCCUCUCCCUAUCUUCUGAAUCAUGCUUGUAACGUCAGUACAGUAUCUUAUGGUAACGUCAGUACAGUAUCUUAUGGUAACGUCAGUACAGUAUCUUAUGGUAACAUCAGUACAGUAGCCUAGGGUAGCGUCUGUACAGUAGCCUAUGGUAACGUCAGUACAGAAGCCUAUGCUUUGGAGGGGGGAAGGGCUACAGUAGCCUAUGCUUUGGAGGGGGGAGAAGCUACAGUAACC
rnacentral:lncRNA from 1 species